rnacentral:rRNA from 1 species
UACGGAGGGUGCAAGCGUUGUCCGGAUUUAUUGGGUUUAAAGGGUGCGUAGGCGGCCUCUUAAGUCAGUGGUGAAAGCCCGCGGCUCAACCGCGGAACUGCCAUUGAUACUGGGAGGCUUGAGUACAGACGAGGUAGGCGGAAUUGAAGAUGUAGCGGUGAAAUGCUUAGAUACCGCCAAGAACCCCGAUUGCGUAGGCAGCUCGCUGUGCCGAAACUGACGCUGAGGCACGAAAGCGUGGGGAGCGAACAGG